UACAGAGGUCCCGAGCGUUGUUCGGAUUCAUUGGGCGUAAAGGGUGCGUAGGCGGCGCGGUAAGUCGGGUGUGAAAUCUUGGAGCUUAACUCCGAAACUGCAUUCGAUACUGCCGUGCUUGAGGACUGGAGAGGAGACUGGAAUUUACGGUGUAGCGGUGAAAUGCGUAGAUAUCGUAAGGAAGACCAGUGGCGAAGGCGGGUCUCUGGACAGUUCCUGACGCUGAGGCACGAAAGCGUGGGUAGCAAACAGG
rnacentral:rRNA from 1 species